CAUCCCAGCUCCUGCACCUGUCUGUCUGCAUGUUUCCCCCUCUUGUAAGGGGUUUGAGUACAUGGUGGCCAAGCAAACAGGCCACACCCUUGUUGCAAGUCCCGCGAGAGGUUCAGAGAACUCUCCCGUUUCACUCCUGCCUCAGGCCUCAGCCACCACAGUAAGUGGAACUCUAUACCUCCACCUCGCCUGGCUGGGUGGAGCCUCUAAACUCAGGAUUCUGCCUUGAGCUGUGGCUCUCCCCUCAGGUUGACAGGGUCCAGAGCAAAACCUACGGAAGAAGCUGCAGAGGCCAGGUGGAGGGAAGGAUGCUGAACUGGAGGAGGCCAGGAAAUUAUGAGGUGAUUCUAAGCACAUUAAAAUCUGGAUGACACUUAUCUGAAUCAUUUCGCAACUUGGAGAGAGAUGGAGAAGACACGCAUGGUGUAACUGGGCAUCACCAGAAUGUGCACUGCCAUCUGUGGCUGUCUUCCUGCUGGCAAAUCCUUUUCAUUCCAAGCAAAUAAGAUUCCCUAAAUUAGACAAAAAGGAAGAAACACAACAGAGUCCAUAAUUCUGAGAGGAAGAGAAGAGUGAUCAUCAGCAGCAAAAGGCAAUUGCAGAGAAGCACCACCAAGAGCCAGCUUCAUGCUCAGGAGUGAAUGCUGAGCCGCCUCCUCGUGGUUUCCGGUGCUCCACAUGUUCAGAGAAACUUCUCUGCUCAAAUGUUGCCUUUUCCAAAACCACCCAUGG
rnacentral:lncRNA from 1 species